rnacentral:rRNA from 1 species
ACGCACGACACCUACGGAGGCAGCAGUGGGGAAUAUUGCACAAUGGGGGAAACCCUGAUGCAGCGACGCCGAGUGAGCGAAGAAGUAUUUCGGUAUGUAAAGCUCUAUCAGCAGGGAAGAAAGUGACGGUACCUGACUAAGAAGCACCGGCUAAAUACGUGCCAGUAGCCGCGGUAAUCUGAGCGGGCUGGCAAGGC